GCUACCGUGGCUCAGGGGUAGAGCAGCUGAUUCGUAAUCAGCAGGUCGUCGGUUCAAAUCCGACCGGUAGCUCCA
rnacentral:tRNA from 1 species